UACGGGGGGAGCAAGCGUUGUUCGGAUUUACUGGGCGUAAAGGGCGCGUAGGCGGUCAGUGCAAGUCAGUUGUGAAAUCUCCGAGCUUAACUCGGAACGGUCAACUGAUACUGCUCGACUAGAGUGCGGAAGGGGCAACUGGAAUUCUUGGUGUGCGGUGAAAUGCGUAGAUAUCAAGAGGAACACCUGCGGCGAAGGCGGGUUGCUGGGCCGACACUGACGCUGAAGCGCGAAAGCUAGGGGAGCGAACGGG
rnacentral:rRNA from 1 species